CCUCUGUGGUGAUGAAAUAUGAAAAUUCUUCGCAUGUCAGACUUCAGAGAUUUUUUCCCUAAAAUCCAUGAGAAGAGAAUUCAUUUUCUGAACAGAGA
rnacentral:snoRNA from 1 species